AUUGAACGCUGGCGGCAGGCCUAACACAUGCAAGUCGAGCGAGCGGCGGACGGGUGAGUAAUGUCUGGGAAACUGCCUGAUGGAGGGGGAUAACUACUGGAAACGGUAGCUAAUACCGCAUACCAUCAGAUGUGCCCAGAUGGGAUUGGCUAGUAGGUGGGGUAACGGCUCACCUCGGCGACGAUCCCUAGAUGGGCUAGGAGGAUGACCAGCCACACGGGAACUGUGACACGGUCCAUACUCCUACGGUAGGCCGCAGUGGGGAAUAUUGCCCAAUGGGCGCAAGCCUGAUUCAGCCAUGCCGCGUGUGUGAAGAAGGCCUUCGGGUUGUAAAGCACUUUCAGCGGGGAGGCGUUACCCGCAGAAGAAGCACCGGCUAACUCCGUGCCAGCCGCCGCGGUAAUUC
rnacentral:rRNA from 1 species